UACGUAGGGGGCGAGCGUUGUCCGGAAUUAUUGGGCGUAAAGAGCGUGUAGGCGGUUCGGUAAGUCUGCCGUGAAAACCUGGGGCUCAACCCUGGGAUGCCGGUGGAUACUGUCGAGCUCGAGUCCGGAAGAGGCGAGUGGAAUUCCUGGUGUAGCGGUGAAAUGCGCAGAUAUCAGGAGGAACACCAAUGGCGAAGGCAGCUCGCUGGGACGGUACUGACGCUGAGACGCGAAAGCGUGGGGAGCAAACAGG
rnacentral:rRNA from 1 species